UGCGUAGGCGUUUUGUUAAGUCAAAUCUGAAAGCCCCCAGCUCAACUGGGGAGAGUGAUUUGAAACUGGCAGAAUUGAGUACGGCAGAGGUUAGUGGAAUUCAAUGUGUAGCGGUGGAAUGCGUAGAUAUAUUGAGGAACACCAGUGGCGAAGGCGGCUAACUGGACCGGAACUGACGCUGAGGCACGAAAGCGUGGGGAGCAAACAGGAUUAGAUACCCUGGUAGUCC
rnacentral:rRNA from 1 species